rnacentral:rRNA from 1 species
GAUGAACGCUGGCGGCGUGCCUAAUACAUGCAAGUCGAGCGAACAGACGAGUAGCUUGCUCCUCUGACGUUAGCGGCGGACGGGUGAGUAACACGUGGAUAACCUACCUAUAAGACUGGGAUAACUUCGGGAAACCGGAGCUAAUACCGGAUAAUAUUUUGAACCGCAUGGUUCAAUAGUGAAAGACGGUUUUGCUGUCACUUAUAGAUGGAUCCGCGCCGCAUUAGCUAGUUGGUAAGGUAACGGCUUACCAAGGCAACGAUGCGUAGCCGACCUGAGAGGGUGAUCGGCCACACUGGAACUGAGACACGGUCCAGACUCCUACGGGAGGCAGCAGUAGGGAAUCUUCCGCAAUGGGCGAAAGCCUGACGGAGCAACGCCGCGUGAGUGAAGAAGGUCUUCGGAUCGUAAAACUCUGUUAUUAGGGAAGAACAAAUGUGUAAGUAACUAGGCACGUCUUGACGGUACCUAAUCAGAAAGCCACGGCUAACUACGUG